AGCAAGCAGUGCACAUCAUUCAAGAAAGGGGCUGAUAUGGUGAAAGCUGGUUUGGAGGAAGGUGUUCCUGGUAUCAAUGUCAUUCUGAACCCUGAGAAUGUAAUUUCGCUGAAUGCAAUUCUUUGGAACGAGCCUCAAACUCAAAGGCAAGGAAGGGAUGCUUUGAAGGACGGGAGGAUGGUGGGGAGACAUUCGUCAGUCUUCUGAACAUGAAACGACCAUUCAAACGAAUGAAGGACCUUGACAUGGAUCAAGUAAUCUCAGAGAUGAUUGAAAAGGUAGAAUGAUGGGCUGUUGUUGUUUGGUGAAUCACUUUACUGAUUAGAUUGUUACAGGGAAUGAAACUCUGAUACU